rnacentral:rRNA from 1 species
GACGAACGCUGGCGGCGUGCUUAACACAUGCAAGUCGAACGGAAAGGACCUGCUUUUGUGGGGUGCUCGAGUGGCGAACGGGUGAGUAACACGUGAGUAACCUGCCCUUGACUUUGGGAUAACUUCAGGAAACUGGGGCUAAUACCGGAUAGGAGCUCCUGCUGCAUGGUGGGGGUUGGAAAGUUUCGGCGGUUGGGGAUGGACUCGCGGCUUAUCAGCUUGUUGGUGGGGUAGUGGCUUACCAAGGCUUUGACGGGUAGCCGGCCUGAGAGGGUGACCGGCCACAUUGGGACUGAGAUACGGCCCAGACUCCUACGGGAGGCAGCAGUGGGGAAUAUUGCACAAUGGGCGGAAGCCUGAUGCAGCAACGCCGCGUGCGGGAUGACGGCCUUCGGGUUGUAAACCGCUUUCGCCUGUGACGAAGCGUGAGUGACGGUAAUAGGUAAAGAAGCACCGGCUAACUACGUG